rnacentral:tRNA from 1 species
GCCAAUGUAGCUCAGUUGGCAGAGCAAGGCUUUCGUAAAGCUUAGGUCAAGGGUUCGAUUCCCUUCAUUGGCUCCA